GGGUGAAAAAAUGUAAGAAAUAUAUUUAAGAAAUAUAGGCCUACUCAAAGCCCAAAUCAUUGAUAUCAUACCCUAUCCAAUAAUAAAGAAAUUUGAAUUUGAAUGGUAACAAUUCCGUUAAGUCCUCGUCCUCGUUUUGAACGUCUCACUCAUGGCAGAUCAGUGUGUUCUUUCUGAUUAGCUCUUAAUUUAGAUCACCUGUCACGCACCCCUUUAUUAAAGGUGAACACAAUGGGUUUGGUUUACUUUUUGCAUCGGCCUGUGUCAAUCGAGGUUGAGUUUAGUAAGGGUUGAAAGUUUUCGAUCUAGAUUGCAGAUCACUAUUGUCACUUUAUACAAACUGAAAGUAUGCGUUGUUGCGUGUUUGUUUUUGUGGGCAUUUGACUGAACAGCCCAGACAAAUAUUGCUACCAACAUGGCACUUCGAAACAGACCACCGCAGGGGACUUGACUGUUGAGUCUACUGGAUUAAUCAGUAGGGGUACUUUGCCCAACAGAUUUGAUGGCAUGACUACAGGGUGACAAAGACAAUUAUUCCCUGCCUAUCAAAAGAGACUUCUAAAACAUAUCUGCUAGAACAGUUCCUAUACUUUUUGUAUAAUUUGGUCAUGCUGCAAAUUUGCUUUUUGUAGUUGCUCCAUAUUUAGUUCUUUGACAGCCUCACCUGCUAGAAAACUCUAUUCAAAUCGGCUAAAUAUAAUGAACUAAAUUAAUAGCCAUGAAAUGUUGUCACUCAUACUAAUGGCAAAUACCCUCUUUCAGUUGGUGGUUCAACACUGAUGUCUCUCUAGGCUUGAGGGAGAGCUCACAAGUAAAUUACACGAAUGUCCUGGAGCAAUUGGGAAUACACUUUUAUUUAGUCUACCUGACCAGGGACAUCUUUGAACUAUAGGUCACCUAACCCAAACUUUUCACUCUUGUUAGGUUGUCCUUUCCUCUUGUUUUAACCCGAAAGGGCUGAAAUAUCAACAUUUCAGGUAUUCUGUUUGGAUAAUGUGCAAAACUUGUGGCUUCACUAUUAAAAAAAAUUAACAAAUGUAUUUUUCUUAAUGUGGUUAAACUAUUUAAAGACUUGUAUGCAAAAUAUUUCUGCUCAAUUUGUGGUCAAUGAAACUGUGAAAUUUUUAAUUUGAUAAAACACAACUAUGGGUUAAAGGUAUUUGCUUUGGGCAUCUUUUGAUAUUUUUAGAAUCUAGCUCCAUUGCCGUUAGAAAUGGUGUCUCCCAGUACUGCAAAGUGCUUCCACAAGUUUAAAAUAGAAUGGGCAGAAAAGGAACUGCCAACUAAAUCUAUUUAACAUGGGUAGAAAGUUUCCAUGGAAGCUCUUGGCUGCUGGUUCUCAACACAGCUCCACUGUUAGCCUGUGACCUUGCGUUUAACUUUUUUGACUUUUGGUGACUUUCACAAAAGAGAAAUGAACUGGUUAAUACAAUAAACAAGACAUUUCAUGGUACCAUUUUGAACUGUUUGUGGAUAUUGCAUUAAAUCCAUAGAACUUUUUGGGGUUCCCCCUUCUUGGUGGCCGUGUGAGCGGGGACUCGAACCUGAGUCUCCAGGGCGUUAACCAACAGCCCGUACCGCUGCACCAACCAUAGAAUGUUCGGAGGUCGUACUUGACUUUACCAUUCACAUGAUAGAGAAAUAAGAUGUAUCCAAUAAGGUACCUCUUGAACCCUGGUUCUGAGCAGGGAACCUGAACCUACAUAGUGUCUGAAAGCUCAUCAUGAAGGUCAGCUUCUUAUUGGCCGUGCGUGCGGGGACUCGAACCUGCACCUGCAGAGUGUUAACCCACAGCCCUUACCGCCACACCACCAAGACGCAGAUCAUGAUGUUUUGGAGGUUAUACUUGACUUUACAAUUCACACAGUCUAGAAAUAAGAGGUAUCCAUUAAGGUACUUACUCCAUCAGGGGACUUACUGCAGCUGGAUACUAUUGUAUGGGGGCGCUAUUUAACUAAACUGGCUCUUACAAUGAAGCAAACAAAUCCUCUCAAAUAGACCAUUUACAUCCAGCAGUGAUGGUCUGAGAUGCCUUGCAGCGGCGUAUUCAUCAUCCUACACGUUCAGCAGUUACAGCCUUUUACCAUCGGUG
ensembl:lncRNA